CGGGAAAUAGCUCAGUUUGGUAGAGCACUUGGUUUGGGACCAAGGGGUCGCAGGUUCGAAUCCUGUUUUCCCGA
rnacentral:tRNA from 5 species